GGGAAUGUGACUCAGUGGUAGAGUGCUUGCCUGGCAUACAUGAAGCCCUGGGUUCAAGUCCCAGCACUGCAA
rnacentral:tRNA from 1 species